AACGAACGCUGGCGGCAGGCCUAACACAUGCAAGUCGAGCGCCCCGCAAGGGGAGCGGCGCACGGGUGAGUAACGCGUGGGAAUAUGCCCUGGGGCUGGGGAUAACGGCGGGAAACUGCCGCUAAUACCCGGUACGCCAUGAGUGGGAAAGGAGCAAAUCCGCCCUGGGAGUAGCCCGCGUUGGAUUAGCUAGUUGGUGUGGUAAGAGCGCACCAAGGCGACGAUCCAUAGCUGGUCUGAGAGGAUGAUCAGCCACACUGGGACUGAGACACGGCCCAGACUCCUACGGGAGGCAGCAGUGGGGAAUAUUGGACAAUGGGGAAACCCUGAUCCAGCCAUGCCGCGUGUGCGAUGAAGGCCU
rnacentral:rRNA from 1 species